rnacentral:rRNA from 1 species
GCGUAGAAAACUGCCCAGUAGUGGGGGAUAGCCCGGGGAAACUCGGAUUAAUACCGCAUACGCUCUACGGAGGAAAGGGGGCCCGUGGCUCUCGCUAUUGGAUGUGUCUGCGUGGGAUUAGCUAGUUGGUGAGGUAAGGGCUCACCAAGGCGACGAUCUCUAGCUGGUCUGAGAGGAUGAUCAGCCACACUGGAACUGAGACACGGACCAGACUCCUACGGGAGGCAGCAGUGAGGAAUAUUGGUCAAUGGAGGCAACUCUGAACCAGCCAUGCCGCGUGCAGGAUGACUGCCCUAUGGG